rnacentral:rRNA from 1 species
GCGGUUAUACGAGAGGCCCAAGUUGACAAACAACGGCGUAAAGAGUGGUUAGGGGAAUUACUAAACUAGAGCCGAACGCUUUCAAAGCUGUUAUACGCACCCGAAAGUAUGAAACCCAAUUACGAAAGUAGCUCUACCUGUCCUGAACCCACGAAAGCUAAGAAACAAACUGGGAUUAGAUACCCCACUAUGCUUAGCCCUAAACAUCGAUUGCACCAUACACUCUAUAUCCGCCCGGGAAUUAUGAACGUCAGUUUAAAACCCAAAGGACUUGGCGGUGCUUAACAUCCACCUAGAGGAGCCUGUUCUAGAACCGAUAACCCCCGUUAAACCUCACCCUCUCUUGUUUUAUCCGCCUAUAUACCACCGUCGUCAGCUUACCCUGUGAAGGUUUUACAGUAAGCAAAAUUGGCACAGCCCAAAACGUCAGGUCGAGGUGUAGUGAAUGAGGGGGGAAGAAAUGGGCUACAUUUGCUAAGCAUAGCAAACACGAAUGUUGCAUUGAAACAUGCAGCUGAAGGAGGAUUUAGCAGUAAGCAGGAAAUAGAGCGUCCCGCUGAAAUUGGCCCUAAAGCGCGCACACACCGCCCGUCACCCUCCCCAAGCUCCCCCCGUACUAAACUAAUUAAGAACCAACAACCCGCGAAGGGGAGGAAAGUCGUAA